UCUUCGUUGGUGAACCAGCGGCGGGAUCAUUACAGAGUUUCUAACUCCCAAACCCAUGUGAACUUACCAUUGUUGCCUCGGCGGAGCCUACCCUGUAGCUACCCUGUAGGGUGGUUACCCUGUAUCGCCCCGCCGGUGGAUUUUCAAACUCUUGUUAUUUUUUGUAAUCUGAGCGUCUUAUUUUAAAUAAGUCAAAACUUUCAACAACGGAUCUCUUGGUUCUGGCAUCGAUGAAGAACGCAGC
rnacentral:misc_RNA from 1 species